rnacentral:rRNA from 1 species
CGCGGCCUAUCAGCUUGUUGGUGGGGUAAUGGCCUACCAAGGCGGCGACGGGUAGCCGGCCUGAGAGGGUGUACGGCCACAUUGGGACUGAGAUACGGCCCAGACUCCUACGGGAGGCAGCAGUGGGGAAUAUUGCACAAUGGGCGCGAGCCUGAUGCAGCGACGCCGCGUGGGGGAUGGAGGCCUUCGGGUUGUAAACUCCUUUCGCUAGGGACGAAGCUUUGUGUGACGGUACCUAGAUAAGAAGCACCGGCUAACUACGUGCCAGCAGCCGCGGUAAUACGUAGGGUGCGAGCGUUGUCCGGAAUUACUGGGCGUAAAGGGCUCGUAGGUGGUUUGUCGCGUCGUCUGUGAAAUUCUGGGGCUUAACUCCGGGCGUGCAGGCGAUACGGGCAUAACUUGAGUGCUGUAGGGGUAACUGGAAUUCCUGGUGUAGCGGUGAAAUGCGCAGAUAUCAGGAGGAACACCGAUGGCGAAGGCAGGUUACUGGGCAGUUACUGACGCUGAGGAGCGAAAGCAUGGGUAGCGAACAGGAUUAGAUACCCUGGUAGUCCAUGCCGUAAACGGUGGGCGCUAGGUGUGAGGGUCUUUCUAUGACUUUCGUGCCGUAGCUAACGCAUUAAGCGCCCCGCCUGGGGAGUACGG